GUGGCCCAGGUGAUGGAGAUUUCUUCCCGUGGUCCUCGGAGGGAUCGGGCCGCGGGAGGAGGCUCCCCUGAAAUUAGGGACGGUAAUUUGAAACAGAUCCAGGCUGAGUGCUGAUAGCGCCGCCACGUGCGGGACGAUGUGCGUGAUAAACCCCGAGCGCCCAAUCCGACCAGAGGCCUGCAGGGGUCUGCGUUAGCACAGCCUUAACAAUGCGGUUUAAUUGUGGUCGGAUUGCAUUGAGCCUUGGUCCCCGAUGUCACGCUAAAUCAGAAGCCAGGGUGCAGUGAUUAGUGGGAAACACUGGAACCUACCAAUCAGGAACUCAAAGGGAGGACAAUGAAGAAGAUUCAAAGAAACCAGUUCCCGUUGCCCUAAUCUAACAAGCUUCAAUGUAAAAGUACACUGAAACUUCACUGCUAUGCAACAAAGCACAGCACAGUGGGACAAAUUUGAGGUCAGAGUUCUUGUGUUUAAAAAUAUGUGGACAGUUCAUUAAAGCUAUUGACCUGUCUCAAAA